UACGUAGGGGGCUAGCGUUGUCCGGAAUCAUUGGGCGUAAAGCGCGUGUAGGCGGUCCGGUAAGUCCGCUGUGAAAGUCGGGGGCUCAACCCUCGGAUGCCGGUGGAUACUGUCGGGCUUGAGUACGGAAGAGGCGAGUGGAAUUCCUGGUGGUAGCGGUGAAAUGCGCAGAGUAUCAAGGAGGAACACCAAUUGCGAAGGCAGCUCGCUGGGACGUUACUGACGCUGAGGAGCGAAAGCGUGGGGAGCGAACAGG
rnacentral:rRNA from 1 species